UGGGGAAUUUUGCACAAUGGGGGAAACCCUGAUGCAGCGACGCCGCGUGAUUUAGAAGGCCUUCGGGUUGUAAAAAUCUUUUCUAUGGGAAGAAAAUGACAGUACCAUAGGAAUAAGGACCGGCUAAUUACGUGCCAGCAGCCGCGGUAAUACGUAAGGUCCGAGCGUUGUCCGGAAUCAUUGGGCGUAAAGGGUACGUAGGCGGGUAAGCAAGUUAGAAGUGAAAUCCUAUAGCUCAACUAUAGUAAGCUUUUAAAACUGCUCAUCUUGAGGUAUGGAAGGGAAAGUGGAAUUCCUAGUGUAGCGGUGAAAUGCGCAGAUAUUAGGAGGUAUACCGGUGGCGAAGGCGACUUUCUGGCCAUAACCUGACGCUGAGGUACGAAAGCGUGGGUAGCAAACAGG
rnacentral:rRNA from 2 species